UGAGGUAUAGCUCAGUGGAAGAGCAUCACGCUUACAUCGUGAGAGUCAUAGGUUCGAUCCCUAUUACCUCAACUA
rnacentral:tRNA from 1 species